GUCUCGUGUGAUACUUCUUUUUUAUGGGUAUAUCAACACAUACUAAUCUAUCUAAUUAAUCUACACGAGUACGUACUCGCCUAACCUUGGCACAAGGGUGGGAGCAGUCUUCAGUGUUGCCGGAUAUCUGAUAAUUAUCUGAUUCUUUAAUAAAACAUAUCUCCAAAAAACUUUGUAAUUUUGUAUCUGUACAUUAAAUCUUGAUUUUGGCUGAAGUGAGAAUAACUGUGACAUAUUACGUAAAGUGGUAAAGUAGAUGUUAAUAUCAAUUGUUAUACUAUAUGAAACUUUUUGGCACCUUUAGGACUUUCUUGCUAAAUAUCAUUCAUUUUGGAUUGAAAAUGAAAAAAAGAAACAAAAAAAAAACUGGAGCAGUGGAGCAGUCAAGAUUUUCUGUGCUCUGGCUCUGCUCCAGCUCCAGGCAAAAACUUGCAACUCUACUGCUCCAUGCUCCGGCUCCGGGCUCCGAGCCAAAGCCCUGACAAAAAGAACCUUUGAAGGGCUAGGAGAAGGAAAGUAAGAAUGAGAUAUGGGUGGGGGGAGAGGGAGGAGAAAAAAUAGUGAGAGGGAAAGAAGAAUAGGUGUCAUAGGGUGACAACUAGAGAGACAUAUAGGAGAGAAGGAGAGAAAUAGAUGGAAGUGAAGGCUAUAAUGUAAGAGUCAGAGGGAUAGAGACAAAGGAGAGCCAUAGAGGGGAGUCCAGACUUGAAAGAAAGAAAGUCCAGAAAGAAAGCAAAAUAAUUCAGGCCCCAAUUCAGCAAAGUACAUAAGCACCUAACUAAGCCUCUUCCAUUUAGCGAAGCACUUUCCCACAUGCCUAAAUUUAAGCAUAUGCUUAGGCUUGAUUGGCUUAAAUGGGAUUUAAGCAUUGCUUAAGUGAUUUACUGAAUCCUAAAUGAGUAAGGAAAAAAAAGGGAGAGAAAGAAAAUGGAAUAGAGAUACAAGAAAAGUGAGAGAUUGAAAAAAAGAGAAGGGAAAAGAAGAAAAUGGAAAAAGGGAAGAAAAUAUAUGA